UGAACAGUAAAACACGCAGUUACCUCUUCCAUCCACAAGACGGCGACACGAAGCUAGACUUCCUGUUUUUUUCUGUCAUGGCUCAUUUCCGCUUCCGUGUCCUUGGUUGCACUCUGUGGUAUCACGCUGCAAAAGCAUCCAGGAAAAAUGGCAAAAUUAAGUAAAGAGACCAAACAGCGGCUGCAGCAACUGUUCCAGUGUGGACAAUUCGUCAUCUGAUGGGGAUUUAUUCCUACAGUGCUGUACUUGGGCUUCAAACGAGGAGCAGAUCCAGGAAUGCCGGAGCCUUCAGUCUUGACACAUUGAAAACAUUUCCCCCCAAAAUUAACGAAUCUCAUGCCAAAUAAAUAUUUGAUGAUGAGCUGUUAAACUGGUAUCAAAGGGCAAAUGGCCGGUGUUGCAAUGCGUGCGUGUGGAAAGAUACCACUGAAUUGUUGGCAUAAUUCGAGUGAACUGCUGACAAGGGGCGACACUGAUUUGCGUCAUCCACUGCUUCUGUGUCAGCGUUUUCUCUCGUGUCUGUCUGUGCAUUAAAACUGAGAGAUUAGUGGAAUUCAAGUCGACGUUGCAAUGUGAUCAACUGCAAUUUUCAAAACCGCAAAGGCUGCAAUUUGAAAAAGAAAACAUGCGUAUAUUUAUUUAUUGAAUGACUACCAUUUCAGUCAAACUGUUUUCUAAGUUGUAAUUGAGGUAGUGCCCUUUUUUUGUAUUAACUCAUGGUUCAUUUACCUUUAUUGUGGGCAUAAGCAUAACUGAUUUAUGUGUAAUAGAUGAUUAUUGUCAUAAAGUUAAUGUAUCGCUUGUGUUUGGUAAAUAUGUAGAAAGAGAACCUUAAAAAAAAUGGCAGAUUAAGUCAAAAACAACAAUGACAUAUGUAUCGUUGGCUGUUUUUGCUUCGUUUCAGUUUACUUUGGGGUUGAAGAAGGAUGACGUGCACCUGCGUCAACAACCUCCACCCGAAGACCACGACGAGUUGGCCACAUGAAAGUCAAUGUCAGUAUAUGAAGUGUCAAUUUUGUCUGAGAUAUUUAUUUGUUAUUGUUACGACAUUGUCUCGAAGUCUGUUCCAUGUUUUUGUCAAUAAAUGUCUGACAGUAAAGCCCAUAAGUGGCCUUACGAUAUUUCAGUUUUUCAAAUAUAUAUAUACGAUGUAUUUGAAUCUCAUAAAAAGAGAUUUGUCUAGUUCAAUCUAAUAAGUGAAAUUCUCAAAAGACACCUGCCAAAGUGUUAUAAAUCAAGCAGUUCAAUUCACAAGUAAGCAAAUAGUUUUAUUCAUGUUUUAAAAAUACAUUCCGUUUAAAAAAUAAAUAUAAUUAUCAUGCCUUCAAGUAUAAAAACAAUAAUAUGUAAUAAAUAUCUUCUUUAAAUAA